GGACGUGUCUCCCACUUUAGAUCCAUUCACGAUGACCAUGAUCAAAGAUGCACCCCGCCAAGAUAAUGGGGGUGAUUGUGGCGUCUACGCUCUGAAAUUUAUUGAGUACAUGAGUAGUGAGGAGAACCCUUCAUUUGGUCCGCAAGACAUUAUGUUUUUUAGAAAAAAAUAUGCUGUUGAUUUGUACUUUAAUAAACUUUCAAUGUAGAUCGUAUGUUUAAUGUUAUGACGGUCUAUACUAAUGUUAUACUAAUGUUAUCUUAA